rnacentral:rRNA from 1 species
AUGGCUCCCAUGCUCAAGCGUAUUGUGGAGGACGAGCCGAAGAAGGCAGCAUACGUGACCUUCCUCGCCGGCGCCGGCGACUACUGGAAGGGCGUGGUGGGUCUUGCCAAGGGCUUUAACACCGUCAAGUCGGCUUACCCGCUCGUGCUGGCCGUACUCCCCGACGUCCCGGGGGAUCACCGCAAGAAGCUGCUUGACCGGGGCUGCCUCGUCCGGGAGAUCGUGCCCGUGUACCCGCCGGAGAGCCACACCCAGUUCUCCAUGGCCUGCUACGUCAUCAUCUACUCCAAGCUCCGAAUCUGGGAGUUCGUGGAGUACGAGAGGAUGGUGUACCUGGACGCGGACAUCCAGGUGUACGACAACAUCGACCACCUGUUCGACCUUGAGAAGGGCCGCUUCUACGCCGUCAAGGACUGCUUCUGCGAGAAGACGUGGAGCCACACGCCGCAGUACGAGAUCGGCUACUGCCAGCAGUGCCCGGACAGGGUGGCCUGGCUGGAGCCCGACCUCGGCAUGCCCCCGCCGCCGCUCUACUUCAACGCCGGCAUGUUCAUACACGAGCCCAGCAUGGCCACCGCCAAGGCCCUACUCGACAAGCUCGUCGCCACCUAUCUCACCCUCUUUGCCGAGCAGGACUUUCUCAACAUGUUCUUCAGGGACGUGUACUGGCCCAUGCUGCGGAGGCACCCCGAGAACAUCCAGCUCCAGAAGGUCAAGGUCGUCCACUACUGCGCAGCGCGAUCGAAGCCGUGGAGGUACACUGGCGAGGAGGCCAACAUGGAUAGGGAGGACAUCAAGAUGCUUGUGAAGAAAUGGUGGGCUAUCUACAACGACAAGAGCCUGAACUACAAGCCUCCCGCUAACCAGGCCAACGAUCCGCUCUGUGCUGCCCUCGCCUCAUCAGUCGACUCAGUCAGUUGA